AUUGAACGCUGGCGGCAUGCCUUACACAUGCAAGUCGAACGGUAACAGGUCUUCGGAUGCUGACGAGUGGCGAACGGGUGAGUAAUACAUCGGAACGUGCCUAGUAGUGGGGGAUAACUACUCGAAAGAGUGGCUAAUACCGCAUGAGAUCUACGGAUGAAAGCAGGAGAUCGAAAGACCUGGUGCUACUAGAGCGCCCGAUGGCAGAUUAGGUAGUCGGUGGGAUAAAAGCUUACCAAGCCGACGAUCUGUAGCUGGUCUGAGAGGACGAUCAGCCACACUGGGACCGAGACACGGCCCAGUCUCCUACGGGAGGCAGCAGUGAGGAAUUUUGGACAAUGGGCGCAAGCCUGAUCCAGCAAUGCCGCGUGCAGGAUGAAGGCCUUCGGGUUGUAAACUGCUUUUGUACGGAACGAACAGCCCUGGGUUAAUACCCUGGGGUCAUGACGGUACCGUAUGAAUAAGCACCGGCUAACUACGUGCCAGCCGCCGCGGUAAUAC
rnacentral:rRNA from 1 species